GCGAACGUUAGCGGCAGGCUUAACACAUGCAAGUCGAGCGAGAAAGGGGGCUUCGGCUCCGAGUAAAGCGGCGGACGGGUGCGUAACACGUGGAUAAUCUGCCUCGUGGCGGGGGACAACAGUCCGAAAGGACUGCUAAUACCGCAUGUCAGGUCGGAAACUCCGGUUUCUGACGAAAAAGAGGGCGUCCGCAAGGAGCUCUCACCACGAGAUGAGUCCGCGUCCCAUCAGCUAGUUGGCGGUGUAAUGGACCACCAAGGCUUAGACGGGUAGCUGGUCUGAGAGGAUGACCAGCCACACUGGGACUGAGACACGGCCCAGACUCCUACGGGAGGCAGCAGUGGGGAAUAUUGGACAAUGGGCGAAAGCCUGAUCCAGCCAUGCCGCGUGAGUGAUGAAGGCC
rnacentral:rRNA from 1 species